CCGAUAGCGUAUAUUAAAGUUGUUGCAGUUAAAAAGCUCGUAGUUGAACUUCGGGGUUUACCCAUUGGUCAGGCUUAAUUGUCUGCACUGGUGAGAUAAAUCUCUACCUUCUGAGGAACUUUCAUGCCAUUUAUUUGGUGUGAUGGGAAAUCAGGACUGUUACUUUGAAAAAAUUAGAGUGUUUAAAGCAGGCUAACGUCUGAAUACAUUAGCAUGGAAUAAUGAAAUAGGACGGAUUGGUUCUAUUUCGUUGGUUUCUAGGAUCACCGUAAUGAUUAAUAGGGAUAGUUGGGGGCAUUAGUAUUCAAUUGUCAGAGGUGAAAUUCUUGGAUUUAUUGAAGACUAACUACUGCGAAAGCAUUUGCCAAGGAUGUUUUCAUUAAUCAAGAACGAAAGUUAGGGGAUCGAAGACGAUCAGAUACCGUCGUAGUCUUAACCAUAAACUAUGCCGACUAGGGAUCGGACGAAGUUAAUUUUAUAAUGACGCGUUCGGCACCUUACG
rnacentral:rRNA from 1 species